GUAGGUGAAGUGAUUUACUCAUGGAGCUGAAGUCAGUCGAAGAUACCAGCUGGCUGCAACUGUUUAUUAAAAACACAGCACUGUGCAAACACGAAAGUGGACGUAUACGGUGUGACGCCUGCCCGGUGCCGGAAGGUUAAUUGAUGGGGUCAGCGCAAGCGAAGCUCCUGAUCGAAGCCCCGGUAAACGGCGGCCGUAACUAUAACGGUCCUAAGGUAGCGAAAUUCCUUGUCGGGUAAGUUCCGACCUGCACGAAUGGCGUAAUGAUGGCCAGGCUGUCUCCACCCGAGACUCAGUGAAAUUGAACUCGCUGUGAAGAUGCAGUGUACCCGCGGCAAGACGGAAAGACCCCGUGAACCUUUACUAUAGCUUGACACUGAACAUUGAGCCUUGAUGUGUAGGAUAGGUGGGAGGCUUUGAAGUGUGGACGCCAGUCUGCAUGGAGCCGACCUUGAAAUACCACCCUUUAAUGUUUGAUGUUCUAACGUGGACCCGUGAUCCGGGUUGCGGACAGUGUCUGGUGGGUAGUUUGACUGGGGCGGUCUCCUCCUAAAGAGUAACGGAGGAGCACGAAGGUUGGCUAAUCCUGGUCGGACAUCAGGAGGUUAGUGCAAUGGCAUAAGCCAGCUUGACUGCGAGCGUGACGGCGCGAGCAGGUGCGAAAGCAGGUCAUAGUGAUCCGGUGGUUCUGAAUGGAAGGGCCAUCGCUCAACGGAUAAAAGGUACUCCGGGGAUAACAGGCUGAUACCGCCCAAGAGUUCAUAUCGACGGCGGUGUUUGGCACCUCGAUGUCGGCUCAUCACAUCCUGGGGCUGAAGUAGGUCCCAAGGGUAUGGCUGUUCGCCAUUUAAAGUGGUACGCGAGCUGGGUUUAGAACGUCGUGAGACAGUUCGGUCCCUAUCUGCCGUGGGCGCUGGAGAACUGAGGGGGGCUGCUCCUAGUACGAGAGGACCGGAGUGGACGCAUCACUGGUGUUCGGGUUGUCAUGCCAAUGGCACUGCCCGGUAGCUAAAUGCGGAAGAGAUAAGUGCUGAAAGCAUCUAAGCACGAAACUUGCCCCGAGAUGAGUUCUCCCUGAGACUUUAGGUCUCCUGAAGGAACGUUGAAGACGACGACGUUGAUAGGCCGGGUGUGUAAGCGCAGCGAUGCGUUGAGCUAACCGGUACUAAUGAACCGUGAGGCUUAACCUUAC
rnacentral:rRNA from 1 species